CGACCAGGGGGGAGUCUCCCCAUUAAUAGGUUUACAGCCCACCGCCUAAUUCAGCCACCUGACC
rnacentral:tRNA from 1 species